UAGUACGAAUACUAGAAAAUUUUUAUUAGAUUUUACUAGAAAUGACAAUAGAGCGAAAAAUACUAAACCGCAGCAACGUAACGUAUACCUUAGUGUCCUGAAUAUUAUAUUUCCAUUGUCGACACCAUAUAAAUAAUAAAAUUGUAUAUGUGUCGAGAUAAUGAAUACAAAGUACAAGAACGUUCAAAUGAAUGUCCUUAACCUUAAUUUUAUUUUAUGAAAGCAACAUAAAAUGAACAAAAGCGAGGCUGUAGUAUCUGUGUCUUUCAUCUGUAAGAUGAUAGUAAACGAUUAUGUAGGUGAAAAAGUUAACAUAACUGCAGUUCACGUACUUUUGUUUAGAGAAUGUUGCAGAAAAAGUUGAAAAAGGUUAGGUUUAGCUUACUAAAGGUAAGCUUUAACUCCUUAUUUUCGAUCUUAAAACAGUAUUCACGUAGUUUCAAUGCUGUAAGACACGCAUUAACAGAAUGGUUACUUAAACAUUCUUCAAACAAUCGAUUUGAAAUUCACAUUCGAUUCGAGUUCCAGUUUGUUCAAGAUGUGUAGGUGUAUAGCAUACAUAUGUAUUAAAUAUGAAUAUAUAUGUAUAUUUCUGUAGUUUGUGUACCAUCUUUAUGUUACAAAGACUUAUAUAUACAUACUUUACGUACAACAUUUAUUCAAUUUAACAAUUUAAUUUUAUGUGAUAGCAUUUACAUAUUCCUAAAAUAUAGUUUGCGGAAGUAUUGAUUAGGAGGGACACAGCUUCUAGAAAAAUCUAAAGCAUUAAAAAUGUUUAUCUAUUUGAAAUUCUUGAAAAGAAGUUCAAUAAAUAAAAAACAUAUGUAUUUAGAGAUAAAAUAUGCUUUAUUGACGAAAGAAAAUGAAAUCAAAUUUUAAUAACAGGCGUUUCCGAUGUGACGAUUUUAUCGGCCUCAAAUCAGUUUGCCAUCUAUCGGUAGGAAUAAAUACUUAUUUCCUAUGUAACGUAGAUACCUUCGUUAGGUACAAGAUUUUACGAUCACGUGACUACGAAGGAUAAGCUUUACGAUGUCAGUUGCAAAUGACGUAUAACGCGUUCAAAUCAUGCGUUUAAUUUUUCUAUCUUUUUCCUUAAAUAAUUAAGUUCUUUUACACAAAGGUGUGCUCUAACCGAUCAGCGAGCGAAUAGAAUUGAUAGUUAAGAGUUUUCUUAUAGAUAUUGCGAGUGAUCGUUGAGGAUGUAAGAAAGGCGAUCAUUGUCGAAUUCUGAUCGAAACGUGCGUGAAAGGACAUUGUUUGGUCGGUAGUGUGUUCGAUGCACGAAGAAGAGGACGAGAUUUAUUAUUUACAAGGAAGUGGAAUGUUUGCCGAAUGUUCCGAGCUGGCUGGGAUCGACGAUUGAUGCUUCGUCCAUUUACGUCGGCUUAAGGAGAGGACCAUCGCAGUGUGAGAGCGUCGUCGCUUUCCAGGCAACCACGUCCGGUAUUUAGCCCAUGUUCCCAAUGGAUUUCGUGAAACGUAAAAAUUCUUCGACUACAAAGAGAAAGCGACAAACGACCGGCAAAGCUUCAUCGGCGAAUAGACAGAAACGGAAAUGGACGUGGUUACAGCGAGUGGGUGCACACGUGGGUAUCACGAGCGUUCGUUACAUCGUCAGGCGGCUCGUGACGACUUUUCCGUCGAGGCGUUAACGCACAGCACAACGUGUUACCUUCGUAAGUAUAAUACCGCUUAUUCAUGCCUCCUUGGCGUCGCUGAAUCGGCGACGUUACGUGGCGUUGCGCGCGCGACCUCCGCACACGUACACGUGGCCGCGUGACGGUGAAUGCGAAAACGCGCGAGCUGGUCCUUCUCUUCAUUCAUGUGUCCUCGAGUGUCGGGAUCCUUAUGUAUACAGGCAUGCUUUUCAGCGACGGAUUUAAUUUAGAUUCGCGUCCAGGCCGGCACGACGCCGACGAGGAAAGGCAAGUGAAACGAAACGCGGGAAAAAGUAAAUUAGGCUGCGGCCUAAUGACGUGACAAACCAUCGCCCUUUGAAUAUGUCCCGUCGCAGGUAUUUCUUAAUGAGUAUCUCGUCUACUCACCUUUCGAAUCCUCUCUUUUACUCCUGUCUCUUUCUCUCUCUCUCCUCGCGGUUACUUUUUUACAUCUUCUUUCCAACUUUUCAUAGCCCCGUGAAAUCGUUUUAUCGUCGACUCGGGUUCGUUCCGAUCUCGACACCGAGAGCUUUUCGUUUUUGAGACAUUUGGAAUUGUUCUGAGACGACUUUUCUUCGUCGAGUAUUUUUUGGAAGAGAACGACUAGGUUUAUUGGGUGUAAUGCGUUGGGUUUGAUUAUUUAUUAACGAACAAAUCUAUUUUAUGGCAAUGAAAAGAAAACGUUACGUAGAUUGUGGAAUGCUAAAUUAUCGAUUGUAAAGCGACUAAAGUUAAACUGACUUUAUGCAGAAGUGAGUCGUAAUAAGUAGAAUGUUUGGAAAGAAAUACACAAGAAGUAUACGAAAUAGAGUAAAACACGCGUUAUUAAUAUUUAAUACGCGAAACAAAUCUCUAUCUAGGUUGCAUUUUUUAAAUUGUGUUAACAAAGAUACGAUUAGUCUAAUAUAAUAUAAGAAAUAAUACAGUAUAAUCCCGUUUAUAUGAACUUCGUUUAUUUGAGUGGAAUUUUCGUCUUUGGUACUUAUUUGAACGUAAAUUCCUUUUAUAUGAACUGGAAUUGUGUAAAUUAUCUCUCAUCAAAUUCAUAUAAACGGAGUUUUACCGUAAUUGUAAUGGGUGACAUGGGUAACAUGAUUGAUAUACAGUGAGUGACUGUCCUUUUUUUACUACAUCAUCCCUGUUGGAUCGGCAGAUUAAAAAAUAUCUUUGGUCUUAAUGGGUCGCAAUUUCAAUAUCCUUUCUCAACGAUAAUUUCUCCAAAGUAAUUUUUUAAUAAUUUGUUUAAUAUAUCUCGUUGGAUAAUAAAAUAAGUGUAUAUUUCUUAGGUUUCCUAUAAUUUUCAUUUUGUCUUAUCUUUUUCCUUCUUUUUCUUUUUUUGACACAUGAUAGUUUGUACUGAGAGUUGUUUCCAACCUGGUACGAAAUUUAUUUUCCUUUCCCAUUCAAAUGUUGUAUUUAAUGGUCCGUGCUUGAUAUAACCAGACGUCACGAGAAUGAGGAAAGCCAUACUAAACGAAAGUUAAUUGGUUUCACUUAAUUAAGAAAAUAUUAUCAAAUUAAUAUUUUCGAGUUCCUACUCUUUUUUUCAACUGACGCGUCACCUCGAGUGCUAGCGGUUAAAUUGAAAAUUGUGUCGUGGAAAUUGCAUAGAUCUCGAAAGAUAUCGCUCUAAUUGAAAAAUCAGUUCAAUUGGCCUUUGUGGAGUCGCUUGUGUCCGGUAUCGAGCGACAGAAAACAACAUCGAUGAAAGAAAAUAAAAAAGUGGAAAAAUGGAAAAGUAGUAUCACUUCGCUGCUAACAAAGAGAACUAUGGUAAAUUACGCCAUUCACCCCGUGCACACAGGAUUUUCAUUUCCUCUCGGGUAACUAGUCUCUCGUCGUCAUCUCCAUCGAUGAAACUUUAUAUUAAGCGAUCAUAUCGAUAAAAGUAAUUAUAAAUAAAGCUUGUUACAGAAAUAACUUCGGCACGGUUUACUCGUUGUCGAAUUAAUAACUUGUCAAUCCAAUAAAUUGAGGGAGAAAAAGAGAGCCACAGGGCGAUAGAAGAGCGAGGGGAGGAUGAUGUUAAGCGUUUAUUAAAUCAAUUCGGGGCCAGAAAACGCGGAACACCGGGGCGCAGGAUCGCAUUACGAAGAAAAUAUAUUUUCCUCCGCAGCGUCACUGCGCCAACCUAUCAGGGUCGCGAGGCGGUGCAAGGUGGUAAUUGCCAAUUAACUGUAAUUAAUUCAUUGAGCCAAGUGGCAGUGAUCAAGCCAACCAUAUCUCCGUUCCCGGGAACUGGUCCUAACGAUCCAGGAUCGGUUUCCGGCCAAUCGAAUGCCGAGGAAACACGAUUUGACAAAUUUAAAGCGGCCCGUUUAUCAAUUUACAUAUUUCAGCGACCAUUUAAGACGGCGUUCUCAUCGAUCCAAUUUCGGACGCCUGCACGAGACGUUGUAAACUUUAUUUUCCACCUUAAUCGCUUUGAUGCGAUUCAGGUCGUGGUUCGUUUAUUAUUUCUAUUACAAUAGACGAUCUUCUUGGUAAAAUUUGGCGAUAGAUUCGACAAGCUUUCUAAAAAAAGAGACCUGUAAAUUUAUGGCAAAUAGAAAGUAUUCGAAAAUUCGUAGACAUCUUUUAUAGAAUUGCGUUAUGUGUGUUAUACAGAAAAUUUUGGACUUUUAUUGGUACUGUAAUGGGACUCGACUGUUACGAUUAAUCGUUCGAUCGUGUAAAAUUGUUUCGUUAUUGACUAUUUUUAUUAGUUAUUUUAUGUACGCUUUGGUCUGGUUCCAAAUAAAAUACAGCAGGUUAUGCCUUGAAGAUCGUCUCUGUUUUAUAUUCGCUCGAAUUUUCAGCUUAUAUAUCGAAUACAGCUUAUAAUGCAACAACAACUUUUGUUUCCCGUAGGGGUGAAUGUUCGGCGAAAGCGUGGGCGCGAAUAACAAGUGCCUGGAAUAAAAGAUCGCGUAGGUUCGGGUUUUCUAUUCCAGAUGAAUUGUGUAGGCGAAGUCAGUGAAUUGGAGGAAUAAACGUGAUUUUAUACACACUGAACGAUAAAUGGGAAUAAUUUUUGGAAUGUCCCGUAAUUAAAGCAGCUGACUGCUCUUUGAUUUUCCGUGCAAUAAUUUCUUGCUUUUUUUCUUCUACGUUCUCAAUGAAACUAUUUAAGUUCACCAAGAGUUGUAUAACAUGUGCAACGUAUAAACGAACGAAUAUUUCACGUCGAUAUUCAAUUUCCUGUGUUAACUCGAAGAAGAAUAACCAAAAAUUUCAAAUUCUCUCUCUACUUGUUCCGCGUUAAAAUUUUCUCGAAAUUUUCUUUUGUCGAUCGAUCAAUCAUGUCGCCGCCAUUGUUCACCGGCAGAGAAAUAGUCGCCCCGUUUCGGCGAUCGUGGACUAUAUUUAACGAGCCGGAGAUCGGAAGCACGCGAAUAAGAAGACGCUGGGCGCGAACGAUUCAAAGUAUCGUUAGAGAAGUGGAAGAUCGAAGUGGCAGCAUUUUCUUGCCAGUUUUUGCUGCUCACAAUGGGACACGCCAGGAAAUAGGAUCUACGUGUCUCGUAACCCAGUUUCGCGGAUCAUUUUGCUUUUGCACGAAAAGUCGAUUGUCUCUCUUUCACGGCGUUCGUCUCUCGAUACUUCUGUUGUUUUUCCCCCUUUUGAACCCCAGAACGGAAGAAUCGUCCCAGUCGUUCAAUCGAGACGAUUAACGAUUACAAUGCGAUCAGUCGACCGACGUAUUUAUCGCAACACAGUUUCGUUUUCGAUACGAGGCGAGAAUAUAAUUCUUCCUCAUCCCCGAGGAAAGUGGUUAUUCAUUCGAAGUUUCCAUUUGACACCCCGUUUCUAAUUGGUCCGGAGAAUACCUGGCUGUGAGUUCCGGAAGGACCUUUGUCUGGUUGGCGCAGAGGCAGAAAAGAAAGACACGGAAAAUGGAAUGCGCGGAUACAUCUCGCCUCCGUCUAUUUUUCUCGCUUUUCUUUCGCGUUUCCUCGCCCCCUUUUUCUCUCUUUUCAUUCCCACCGACCUUUCUCUCUGCGCCGUUUCCUCUGUCCUUCUUCGUCGUUUCUUUCAUCGUCCACGUCCUUUCUUUUCUCGUUUGAAACUAAAGCUGGCGGGACAGGCGCUUGAAAAUCGCAAAUUGCACUCGGUGCCCCGAUCCUUCAGAAUUGAAAGCAAAUAUUUUGAAAAAAAUCGUCGCGCCUCAGGGCUGUUAAACGCCAUCGGAACGUUCUUCCCUGUUUUCACCAAUUUUUUACUCUAUCCUUACCUGUUUUUCUUUCAUUCCUCUUCCCUUUCCCGGCCAUGGCACCUUCCUUAACGAGAUAACUGCACCAGCAAGUGACGUUCGCCGUUCAGCGAAAUCGUCCCUUUUUGAGCACCGCUCGCUUUUCCAGGGUUCACCUGGUAAUAUUUUAAUACCAGAGUUGACGAAAGAGGAAGUUUCAUGGAAAUGAGCGUGAGUAAUUCUGACUAAGAAAUAAGAGACGACGCUGGAUCUCUCGCCUUUUAAAGUUAAUUUGUUGACCUUUUCUAAAAUGUAUCUCACGUAAGCUAUUGAGUUUUUAUGAAACGGAUUUUCGUUAAAGUAGCGUGAUAACGAUAACGUGAUUGUAAAGGUAAUUUCUUUAAUUAAAUACGAUCGACGACAUAAUUAUAGUAGCUUUACAAAUAUAAUAGAAAUCAAUAGAAUAACUCUCAAAUGUUGAUAAAAUGUUGAUAAAACGAAAGUAACGACAAGAUUUCUUUUACUCUACUUUUCUGUGAUUUGUUUCGGUUGCACGUGUAGUAAUCUGUUCGUGUCUUCUUGAGUUCAACGAGAAUCGAUUUUUAUUUUCGGAGCUACUUUGUUUUCGCGCGUUUCUUACUGUUUACCGACGCUCGAAAGCUCGAAGCACAUAUCACUGUCACUUAUUGUUAAAAAUUCAUAAGAUCUUUUUGCUCACCCUCUGAGACCAGAGAAUUUAUGAUCUACACACUUUUCUUGCAUAUAUGUUGAUAUGGGACAAGGGAAAAAGCUCGUUUGCAUAUAAUCCAUUAUAUGAGUACGAGUACGUGAAAUUUUAUUUUGACGUCUCGCUAAUGUUUACACGAUGUUCAUACGAUUUGUAUGAUUCUGAGAAAACCAUAUUAUUUUUUUUAUUUUAAGCAAACGUAUACUACACGAGAAAUAUGCGAUCAAUGGCAAACAAAAUAAUACUAUUUUUAUAAAAAAUUUCUAUACAAUACAGUUAAUCGUUUGACGUUCAAACAUCUUCAUAAAUGAUCCUAUAGAAUGUGAUAUACGAGUUCGAGGAAUAAUAAUGAUCAUUUAUCAAAUCAAACAUCACGUUCCACCAAAAUAAUCUUGUACUGUUUUAAACAGAAUUUAUCAUAUUCUAAGAAGAUAUCAUGUUCGGCUGGAAGCUUGCAUUCCAUCAUAAGCUUCGUUAAUACAAAUUGGUUAAUUCAAAUCUUCAAUCUUUCGCGAUCUACUUACUAGACAGGACGAUAUUUAAAACAUAAACAUGAUUAUGCAUUAUAGUAAUCUAUAUAACACGCAUACGGUUCUAUACUCUGUAUGAAUAUUUAUAUCUCACUAUCGUACUUACGAUAUCUCAAGAAUUAAGAAAGAACAUUUUUUUAAUGAAAUUCAAAUACUAAGAAUUACCAGACAAAGUACUAUACUAUAUUCCUAGAAUUACUAUGCAAAUUUUGUUAGUCGUUAUCCCUUUUCGAAUUCUUAAAUUACUCUGUUUUUAUUACUUCUACUACUUUAUAUUCCGCCACUUUUUAAUCUUCCUACUAUCAUUAUUCGCGAAUCAUAAGAAAAUACAGAAAACCACGAACUAGCAGAAUUCGUCUCAAGCCAAUGUUUGAUCGUCUUCGACCACGACCAUCGCACCUCGUAUCUUAGCCGAAAUAAAGUUUCACGUUGCACAGGUGGAAACACGGUUGUCAGGCAGCCGUGGCGUGGCCACGUUCUUCGCUUUUAGUAGGACGUCCAUCCUGUCGCGCGGUUUCCAGAAUUUUUCUGGUUGGCCGUGAAUCGGUUUUAACCCCCUCCCCCUCCACCCUCCUUCUCUCACGACGAUCGAGCGAGCCGAAUGCAGAGGACCACACACGUACGUAUGUACGUAAGUAGGUAUCUCUGCUAUGAAGAGCGACCGGGUCGAGUUGGCCAGGAUGGCAGCCAUGUAAAUAGGCCAGCGGCAUAAUUUAUACCCGUCAUGCCUAGGAACGGGAGAGCUGGCGCGGGUCUGCUGGGAUCCAAACUGUCGGCCGAAAAGCUGCAGAACACGCACGGCUUGUCGGAUCACGACUAACACGCUCUCCGUACUUUUUAUUCGGUCCCCACGCUAUCCACUCUUGCCCUGCCCCUCUCUGUUCUCUCCUCUCUCCUGACAAGAAUUCAUCCGCGCCUCUUCUCCGUGUCUCUGCGUUUUACCGCCAGCUACUCGAGCAUGGUUUUUUUAUCGCAACGUUUCCCCAUUCACCAUGCCACCGCCGCUGUCGAUGAUACCGAAGAGAAUAUUUUUUCUCCCGGAGAAACAUAUCGGGCUCUGCUCGAGAGCACUCGUCCUUGUACUAUGGUUUUUGCUUCGCUCCCUUUUUCUUUGUGUCACUGUAUGAACGGUUCCCAACGGUUGAAGAGUCCCUUCUUGUUCCUGCUGGAUCUACGAGCCAGAGGUUCUGAAUCGUCGACCCAAGCAUCGUCUCUAUUCACUUACGGUAUCAACUGAAUCAUCGAUUCUCCCCGAUGUUUUUUCCUGUCGCGAAAAGAACCCCGCUGAAGGAGGCAGGGGGUGCGCCCGCUAACGAGGGGUAAUUAGAAUCGACGACAAAACCGUGGCACGCAGUUAGAACAGUUUGUAAUGGAGAUUAAUCGAUCUUGGGGGCGACCGCCGCGCUAUGAUUCCCGCGAAGGCACCCUCUGCUCGUUCGAGGUGCUCCAUAUUCGGCCGAAAUUAUCCUCGCCCUACGGUGCCGUCGCGAGGUGGUGGCAGAACACCGGGGACAUCGCGAAGGGGAAACUGGAAAUUCAGUAAGGGUGUCGGGGGAAAAAAGAGAGCAACGCGUCGAACAACGACGUAGCGCGCUAAGUAAAGCGUACCAAAAAAAGCGCGAGUCAAAGCGAAGCAAAGCGAAGAUGAUGCGGCGGGAGAGGGUGGCCGGAUGGGAUGGGUGGGUAUAGGCCACCGAUAGAGUUCGGUGGAGAGAGGACACGAGGGGCUGAAAGGAGGAUUGGGGGAAGAGGGUAGGAGAAUAAGGUGUAUCAGGGCGAGGCAACAAACGGGCCUGGCGCGGAGAGCUGGUGAAAGAGAGGGCGCCUGCGGGUAGUUCGAGGGGGUUGUAGAGAGCUAUGACGUCACUAGGAGCGUCAUACCGCCACCCCUUCCACCCUCGAUCAAUGACGCGACCUUGCCGCCCUUCUGCACCCUCCUCCGCCCUCCGCGACCCACGAUUCUCCACGUUACCCCUUCGGGCUGAACUAACCCGUCCCAGUACUCAAAGGGGCGGCGGCUGUUUCUGCAACCUGGCAACCCUGUCUAUAUUUAGCAUCCAUUCCAUUCCCCACCAGGGAUCUCCUCUUCGCGUUUCUCUUUCCCUCUUUCUCCCUCCUGCCUGCGAAUCUACUAUUCCCCGCGUAGAAUUCUCGACUCUUCGUAUCUUCCCUUUCUCCGUUGCACUCGAUCAACCCGCUUCUGCGUCCUUGUCACCCUCGUGCCGUAUUCUCUCCGUUAUUCCCGCGGCUUCUGCUGCGUCACAGUCUCUCUUCCACUCCGUCGCUCUUCGUUAUUCUCCAGUUUCGCGCUCUCUUGCUCUCGUACCAUCUCCGUUCGUUUUACGUAGCCUGAGCAGCGUGUUUCCCUCUGACGAGGCAACGAUAUAAACAAGCGGCCUGCGCCGGCGUCGACCACGGGAGGCGGCGGCUCGAACGACGCCCGAUCAACAGACACAACUAAAGAGAGGCCCGGGUUGCUCGUCUCCCGCAUCCUCUUCCUCGUUCUAGGCCUCCACGGGAUCGCUGCUUGCCGAUAGAAACUCGUUGCAUGAGAUCGUUUCACGAGGUCACGCGUGACUCCCUGUUCAGACGCUGACAACCAAAUCUUUUGUAGAAUUACUUUUCCUUUCUAGCGAGGUACGUACUUGUUGCAAAGUUGUAUCUGAGAACGAAGAAGAAGAAGAAGAAGAUCCGUUUGUAACUGGACAGUUGGGCGCAGAGAAAGAAUUUUGUUUAUGGUGCUGUUGCGGGAUAUGCCGUAGAUUUUACGACGUGGCUCUAUUGAGAUGUAGAUAAGAGAAAGAACGAUUCAUCUUGAACGGCCAGACUAUCGAUAAACCAGCGCGAUAAUUCUAGAUGAUCGUGUCAGCUCGAUAGGCGGAUCUUCUAAAUUUGCUGCGUAACGUUCUUGCCCUUUCCAUUCAAUUCCGUAUACGUCCAUCGAGUUCGAUCUUCGUCUUUUCGCGAUCGUCUAGGUUUAUCUAGAGCUACUCUCUUGGUCCGCGAUUUGAUAAAUAUUUUAUUCUAUAUAUGUAUUGGAUGAUAAAUAUUUUGUAACUUCAGUGUUCUUGUCAUUCGAUAGAAUUGGAAAGAAACGUUAUAUAUUUUAAAGCAACAAGAUUGAAAGAUAAAAUAGAAAUAGACUAGAGAACAAGAAUAUAAAUUCCUAAAAUAGAGUGCGAGGGAGAAUCCUUCAUAUGGAACAGAGUAGAAAUAAUAAUAUUUGACCCAAUAAAAUACCUGGAAACGGAAGACCAUAUUUUGAAAGGAAAUAGGAUUAUUGUUAUUUAGUAUAACUAAAGGACUAUGGCACAAAAGAACUCUCUUAUUAUAUCUUAUUCACAGAAGCAAGCAUCGUUAUCAUCCAUAGCAUCUUACAAUUCCUUUCCUUCGGACCUCUCAUUACUUCCAUACGAUACCAACGAUCCUAAAUCCAACAUAAUUUGAACAUCAACCACUGUAAUUGUUUACGCAUUCAUGGGAAAUUUAUACGUGCAGAAAUGCACAGAAUGCACAAACACGUUUAAAUAUCCGAAUUUCUCGUAAUAUCUAACGGAUGAAACAAUUCGCUGUUUGAAUUCUAUUUACUUAAUUAUAUUCGCGAAAGUAUGAAGUUGUAUAAAGAUCUUUGGUCAAACGAUUAUCUGAAUACUCUGACUAAACUACGGCGUUUAUGAACUUCUAGCAAACUGAGAUAGACGCAAGGAUGCACAGAAUCCACCGAACAUACAAAACUAUACGAGACAUCCAAGGUACAGUACUCGUUCGAAAAUUUGACACACGAAAAACCUUUUUCCUUAUCUAAUUUCAUUUCUUUUAUUGUACCGAGUUAAAUAAUAAAUUCGCUCGUCCUUCGCUAACGUAUACAUUUCGAAGAAUAUUAUGGAAAUUCUUUGAGGACUGCAAGAGUACAUUUGUUUGUAUUUUUUGAUGACAGAUAUAUAUUAAAGAAAAACAGUAAAAUAGACAAGUUACUCCUUGAUUGCGUAAAUCUUAUACAAUAGUAAUAGGACUCGACGUUCUAAGCAAACACCCAUAAACUUGUUUCUCAACUUAAUAUUUACAAAAAUAUAAAUUCUCAUAAGUAUACGCGAUCUAACCGCAACACAAUCGUUUCUACAAACCGUGAAAUAUAAGGUGAGAAUGAUCGGGUCAUUCCAGCCGGCGCCUACCUCAAACCACUCUUGCUACAUACCAGAGCGAUAAACUCGUUCCUCCGCAGCCCCACUUCCGAAUUCCAACGCGCUAGGUGCCCGUAAAAAUUCGACCGAUUUAAAUUCAAGCCCCGGCAGCUCGGCUGGCUUGGCCGUCGCGUUUUCACCAGGUAGACGAGUCGGGAUCGAUACGCGUUCUCCCGCUUCCGUAGGAAGUUCGUUUAAAUUAUCAUGAUUAAUGUUUAUCGACAAGCUCAUCAUAGUUGGUGUAUAUAAUACAUCUGGAGCGGCGCGUCUCGUCCUGUGAUUGGCCCGCAUCGAUCGCGGUGCCGCUUCGUCGUUAGCAUGUGAAUGAGGCAGAAGCGAGUCGUUCGAAUUCAGCUGCGCUCGCCAUGGAUAGCGGCGGAGAACACGAGCGGGAGGGAAAGGAAAGGAUAGCGGGAUCCAUCGAUCACCUGCCAUUUGGCUGAAAUAAUUCGAAUGCAAAUGCGCCGCGGAACAGACGACACAGCGGGGAAGAACCUUUACGAGCACGAGUCUCGCGAUGGUCAUCUCUCGUUCCAGGUAAAUCCAGGUCCGAUAGGUGAAAUUAGUACGCCGCACGUGGCCGCGGUCUCGCGUGAUCUCGAUUUCGAACGUUCUUUCGAGAAAUUUUCCUUUUAUCUCCGUCUCAUCGUUAUUUCGUAUCUGAUCUACGUGUCACGUGUUCUACUAUCUGAUGUUUCGGUUUCGGUGGUAAAAGAAAAGCGAGAGAGAAAGUGUGUGUGUGUGUGUGUGUGUGUGAGAGAGAGAGAGAGAAAGAGCAGCGGCAUCUUGUGUUUGUGUUCUAACGCUCCUUCUGCCAGACUUUGACGCAAAUAGCUCUUCAGCGACGCUCGGUACACAGCAGGUUGGUUGCCUUUGACUGUAUCGGUCGUAUUAGUCUGCAUUAGCUAAAUUAACGUGGUACGUUCGUGGAAUUGAGUAUGAUGGGAGAUGAUCGAGAGAUGAGGGCUGCUGUUUACUUUGCCUUGAUCACGGUGCUUGUGUACAGAUUUUAGGUAAUUAAUGAUUUACAGACGGACUGUACAUGCUCCUUCGUUGAUUGUUACUGCGUUUACAGUUACGAUUCUUUACGAUUCUUUUGUUAUCUUUAUUGAGAUAUGUAUAAUUUUAUGUGCUAGAGUAGAUUAGCUGCGUAGUAGUGAUACAUGUAUGUGAAUAUCAGUGUGUGAAAGUAUCUGUGCGCGCGGCGUCUCGAAAACAAAGGAAUGUAAACGGUUCAGUCGGUUAACAGUCGGGUAUGGAAGAAAGUGCUGAGACGCGUGCACGUGUGUAUCGAUGAAUAUCUUUGAAAUCGUUUAACAAAUAAUUAUAUAAUUAUUCUAAUGUAAAUUCUAAGUGUAAAUUUAGUGUUCCUAUACCAUUAUUUCGGCUAUUAAGGUCCAAAAUUCUCAACAAUCUUUGUUCUUUUAGACGUGAUCUAGAUUCAGCAAAUUCAUCCCCGAUGCUCUGUAUAUGAUGGACAUUAAAAACGAAUAGAACCGUCUGACGAUAAAAUAGCAGACGUGUGUUAUUCUUUAGACAUUAUUCAAGACAGACGUCGAGUAUUUAAUGAGGAGAGAUGAAAGCAAAACGUCUUGAACGUUUUACGGAGAAUGUUUCUUUGCGAAGAAAUGAGAGGCUGGAAACGAUGGGAGCUUGCGGAAUUUGAUUAUUUUUAGAAGAAAGCCUGGUAACGACACCGCGUAUCGACGUUUCCCCUUUAAAAAUAAUUACCGAGUCGAGUUAAAGGGUGAAGCGUAACACUUACACCGCGUCGUAGAAAUAUUUAUAUACUUGCCCUUGUUUCUUCGCGUCUACCAUUCUGUUUACGUAUUCCGCCUCAAGAUACAAUUUUUAAAGUCUCGUUCUACUCUUUUUCGCUGAAUACCGCUUUGUACGUUGCCUGAAUCGCAACAGAUCCAACUUUAAAGGAACAUCCUGUUAUUUAAUACAAGAGAGACCUUUCUAGCCUCGAGAUAGUAAAAAAAAAGGGAGGAGGGAGAAAGAAAGAAGCUCUGAAAGCUGAAAACUACAUCGAACAAACGUCGUUCGUUAAAAAAGUAACGCCUACUAUUCCGAAAAGAGCAUUGGACGUAAAUAUUUCCCCUUGGAAGGCCUUUCCUUUUUUUUUAUCGCGUAACUAAACAGCAAUUUGCCUCAAUUUUCGUACUUAGUCUAAUGGAGAAUAUUUCUUUAUCGCCCGGUAAAACGGUUUUUACUUUGUACUUACCGUAAAAGCAGAUUUUCUACCACUUUAUUAUUCAUUAUAUGUUAAUUUGUCCGGUAUACCCCGUUGUUCCGCUUGGUCGUUACUUUUUAUAACGUUAUAUACUUUCAACGCCACGUUCGUAGGCAACUUUCUAUUCACGUUUUGCUCAUCGAAAUUUCGCAUGGCGCGCGGUUUAUGCGAUAUCCGAUGAUGGUAGAAUGUAUCUAUCUUUACGUACAAAAGGGCAGAAGUGCGCGAGGAUUUCUCACAAUUCUCUCCAUAAAUCAUUGUGCGCGUUUCCGCACUGCGCUGGGACAAUUUGCAAUAACCGAAUAUUUAGCUGCUUCAUAAACCGUGGCCAAUCGCGUAAAAAAUAAAUUCCUAUCGGGGGAAAAUCUUUAUUCUCCAAACUGUCCAAUUUUUCAGAUUAUAUUCACAACUUUCAAUCAAUUUUUUCUUUUCUACGUUUUGUCCCGUUUUCAAUUAUUUUUAUAUUCUCGUGUUUGUAAUUUUGUUCGUAAUAAAGGAGACAAUUUCGCCUACAGAUUGAAAUAUAAAUUACCAAUUAAUGAUUCACUUACCUGUGACGCAAUUGGGUAGGGGUCGGAUCGAAUCACAUAGCAGGUUACAUUUAAAUAAACGAUCCUGUAUUGUGACAAAUUUGAUUGGUAUACAACGGUUUACAAGGGAAUCGAUCGUAUCAUGCCACGGAAUGGUACGGGAGAUGACGAAGGAUACUCGAAUCGAAGGUACAAGCGUAAUUCUUAUGCAGCGAUCGGUGAAAGCGCAAACUGGAAGACGCUAUUUUAUUUCUUAUUUCUCUUUAUUUUUCCCUCAUAAUUUUGCUUGUUCGUUCUCAUGUUUCGUUUUGAAAUUCGUUCGACUUUCGUCGCGUGAUCUCCUUCCACAUUUUUUUCUACGUAAUUGCUCUUUUUUCGAACGAGUUUCGAGUUUCGCUUUUAUUCUCUCCGGCCUCUUUGCGCGCUUCCUUCUUUUACAGCUGGUAACGCAUCGUCUGAUCGGAUACUGGGAUAUUCUACUGGAUUUUCAUAAAUACUAUUCACCAAAUGUUCGUUUUCAUCGCUUUCGAUCAACGAUAUCGAACAUUUUUAUGCAUCCAACUAAUUCAAAAAAUCCAUUAUAUGUUUAUUACUCGAAAAAAUUACGAAAAGUUACGCAAAUUUUCUUAUUUAUUCUACGCGAAUAUGGAAGCAUUUACAGUCAUUCAAUGUAAGAUGUUAUAAGAAUUAUUUCAAAUAUAAAAAGAUAAACAGAGAAGGAAGGAUGAAUAAAGAAAUAGAGAUCUUGUCUGAUCACGCGUUGACCUAUUCUACUGAAUCUCCGCAAAUACUUCCAAAAUAACUCUGCUUUUGCCAGUUUCGGCUGUUCUCGUCAAACAUAACAUUGAAAAAACGUCAGUGUCUAUGAAAUUUUUUUGGAAAGACUAUCCUCUUCCAUGUUAUAUUUACAAGAUUAGAAAUUCCUUCGUACGAUGGAAAAAUCACGUUGCUGAUCUUUUCGGAGGAGAACAAUAUUUACAACCAUCCGUCGUAGAAUAUCCUGAAAAUUUUUCAAGCUUUAUCUUCUUCUUCUUCUUCAUUUCGAUAAUUUUACGUAGAAAAAAAAGGAAAAGCGUAAAAGGUGAACAGGAAGAACAGGUGAAAACAGGUGAGUUGUUUCGUAACGACGCCGGGACGGUAUACGGGGACUGUUACAUUGUUCAUUUUUAUUUUCGUUCCGCUUCGUAUCGGUGAGUUUGUCGAGGGAUAGAAAAAGUGACGACGAACAUCAACAUGAAAACGUUAACGACCACAACGACGGAGGAAACAAAAAUACCGUCGCUUUUAUAUCUGAAUUUGGCGCCAUGCUACUAUCAAGAAUAAGUUACUCCGGCGAUUCGGAUUCAUUCCAUUUCCAACGUCCAUUUAAAUAUCUGACUUCCCUCGAAUCGUUCGUAACUUUAUCCUUUUUGUAAAGACGUAUAUAACGCCUGUCCUGCAAAUUGUACAUUGAUCAAAUGGAUCACGCUGGGUAAAGUCGUGAGAACGUGCGGCCUUCGAUCAAGAUGACUCGAGUUUCUCUUCCGCACCGUUCUGAUGCUCCGAUAAAUGCAUCACCGUGUUCAUCGUGUGUUACCAUCGUUACGUUAACGGCUUAAUACCCGAUAUACGCAUUAUCUAUCGUUAUUUAAACCGCUGAUAGAUAACAAUUAGUCGUAAUAAGAAAAUCUGGCGAUAUGAUAGGUAGAUCGAUCUCGUCGCUGCCACGUAUAAAACUUGCUCGACUGUCGGCUCGAUUCUCGUUUCUCUUUCCUUUUUUUUUUUUUUUUAAUGGAUCUAUGGGGAAUCGUGAAAUAGAAAAAAUUCGUGAUGGAAGAAACGAAGAGUCACCAAGGUUCACGAACAAUUGACGAGUAUUCUUUUUUUCUUUCGUUCUUCGAUAAUCGUCGGUUUAUGGCAGUUUGUUUCGGUAAAUAAAUGUGAACCGAAGUUUCUCGGCGGGAUAGUUAGAGUGCGUUCCAGAAAAAUAGUUUUAUACGUCGCAACAUGCAAUUUUGCUCCGCGACCUCUCUCCCUUUGUUCAGUUCAGUGCUACGAUGAUACU